rnacentral:snRNA from 8 species
AUACUUACCUGGCAAGGGAGACACCGUGAUCAAGAAGGCGGUUCACCCAGGGCGAGGCUCAGCCAUUGCACUCCGGCUGUGCUGACCCCUGCGAAUUUCCCAAAUGUGGAAAUCUCGAUUGCAUAAUUUCUGGUAAUGGGGGACUGCGUUCGCGCUCUCCCCUG